GUCCACGCCCUAAACGAUGGAUGCUAGCUGUAUGGAGUAUCGACCCUCUGUGUAGCGAAGCUAACGCGUUAAGCAUCCCGCCUGUGGAGUACGGUCGCAAGACUAAAACAUAAAGGAAUUGACGGGGACCCGCACAAGCGGUGGAGCGUGUUGUUUAAUUCGAUGAUAAACGAAGAACCUUACCCAGGCUUGACAUCCUACUAAAAGACUGCGAAAGCAGACUGUGUCUUCGGACCGUAGUGACAGGUGUUGCAUGGCCGUCGU
rnacentral:rRNA from 1 species